UACGUAGGGGGCAAGCGUUGUCCGGAUUUAUUGGGCGUAAAGAGCUUGUAGGCGGUUUGUCGCGUCUGCUGUGAAAUUUCGGGGCUCAACCCCGGACUUGCAGUGGGUACGGGCAGACUAGAGUGUGGUAGGGGAGACUGGAAUUCCUGGUGUAGCGGUGAAAUGCGCAGAUAUCAGGAGGAACACCGAUGGCGAAGGCAGGUCUCUGGGCCAUAACUGACGCUGAGAAGCGAAAGCAUGGGGGAGCGAACAGG
rnacentral:rRNA from 1 species